rnacentral:lncRNA from 1 species
AUGUCUGCAGCUCACUCCUCUCCUCUCUUCUCUGUCAGGGAAGGAGAGAGGAGAGGACAGGAUGUUAGCUGUGAGAGGGGUGGAGGUAAGACACCUGUCGAGGGAGGUGGGGAUUCAUUAGUAUUCAUUAUACAUUUCCCACCAGUUUCAGAGCAAAGUGGAGAGAGGAGGGGCACCAUCCAUCUCCUCCACAGAGAUACACACAGACGGCUGAAACCGAGAGGUCCUGUUUUGAGCGGCUGGGAGGUUUGCGGCAGCAGAUGGGCUGUCCCACUGUGUGCCUGAUUGAAACACAGAAGCUGGAUCCUUCUCAUAACAACAUCUCCAGCUCCUGUCAGCUCCAGCCAGGGAACAAAUCAGCCUUCCCGCGGCUCUGCUGCAGGGAACACGACUAUGUUCAGAGGAAAAGCAAGGCCUGGCCAAGGGCACAAAGGGUCCUUACAUUUUAGGACUGCCUGGCUGUCAGUGUUUACAAGCGCUGUGCUUUUGUACCCACAGAGGAUAGUCGUGAAAAUCAAAGCUGGAGGUGCAGAUGGCAGGUCUGUAUGUGGAAAGCAUCUGCAGACUGCACUGUGAAUAUUGAAGAAUUGAUUAUAUAAGCUGGUUCAGAUAGACUGGUCACUAUUGAUCACGUGCUUGAAGUUAAAAGCUUAGGUUAAUGAGGUCACACUUGCAUCACAGUUUUAUAAAGUAAAACUGACUACAUGUAAUCUGGAUUAUGUAAUCAGAUUCCAAAAUUGAGUACUCGUAAUUGACCCUUCACAAAAACACACCCUCCUUAAAUACAUUGUGAAACAGAGAGGAAACUGACAACAUGCCGACAGACAAGACAAAAUCAUGUUACUUCUCAUAUGAAACAAGGUCUCAGCUUUUAAAAUUUGUCUUUUUUUUUUUUUAAUAAGUUCAGACAAUAAGUAGCAUUUUGUGGCUCUUUACUGCGUUGAAUACGCUUCAGUUCAAAGCACGAAAUAAACAUGAAUGAACAUCAGAACAUAUUUUAUUUCAACCAUGUAAAGUCAUUACUAAUUUUUCAAAGUGGAAAUCCACUGCAGUUAAUCUACUCUCCUGUCUGAUUUGUUUGUUGGGCAAGAUAGUGGAUUCUGCGUUAUGAUUGGUCAAAUCGCCUGUCAAUCAAGCCCUUUGAGAAGUGUCAAUUGGAUAACAUUUUCAUAUUACAUUUAAUGUUUAAUAAUACAUUUUUAAAUGUUCUUUAUCAAAUUACAGUUACUUUUAUGGAUUAUAUAAAUAGAUAUUGUUCAUAAAAGGGAAGUAAAUUAUUCUCAAAAUCAUUGCC